rnacentral:tRNA from 1 species
ACCUGGCUGGCUCAGUCAGUAGGGCAUAUGACUCUUGAUCUCAGGUUGUGAGUUCGAGCCCCACACUGGGUA